CUUUACAUAGCUAUAGAAACACCAAAAACUCCCCCCUAUUCCAAACCCCAAAAUCAAAACCCCUGCAAUUCCAAUUGCAAUUUUGGACACUUCUCAAUUGAAACAUAAACCCUAAAAAUCAAAAUCAGGGCAAAGGAAGAAGAGUAGAGGAGAGAGAAAAUGUCGUCGACGCUUCUCGAAGUAACUCGAGGCUCUCACGAAGAAGUAGAGAGAUUGGAGCGCCUCAUUGUGAAGGAGCUUCAGAAUGAAGGUGCUUCUUCAAAAGAACGUCUGUUUCAGAGUCAUCGUGUUCGCUUCAUGAUUGAGCACAUCGUCUCUACAACCAAUAAACUCGUUGAGAUUUACGAAGAUAAAGAUAAUGCUCGUAAGGAUGAAAUUGCGGCGCUUGGUGGUCAGACUGCUACUGGUACCAAUGUGUUUAGUGCCUUUUACGACAGAUUGAAAGAGAUUCGUGAGUAUCACAGGCGACAUCAAUCUGCACGUGUCAUAGAUGCUGAAGAGGAGUAUGAGCAGAUGUUUAAGGAGGAUCCCAUGCUUGAUUUCAGUGGAGAGGAAGCAUCUGGCCGUUACUUGGAUUUGCAUCAAUUCUACAAUAUGUACAUUAAUUCAAAAUUUGGUAAACCAAUGGAUUACGUCGCUUACCUGAUGGUAUUCUCACAGCCACAAAAAAUUCCUCGCAAACGCAAGAUGACAAGGCAGUACAAAGAGUACACUAUCAAUAUACUGGAGUACCUGAUCUCUUUCUUUGAACGAACAGAGCCUUUAAAAGAUCUAGAUAGAAUAUUCUCGAAGGUAAUAUCUGAUUUUGAAGAAAAAUGGGCGAUUGGAGAAGUGGAGGGAUGGGAGAAUGAGGGGCAGGAGAAUGGUCAUGUUUCUCAGUCUGACGUGAUUGAUCUUGAUUAUUAUAGCACAGUGGAAGAGCUUAUGGAAUUGGGUCCCGAGAAGUUGAAAGAGGCCUUGGCUGCACUAGGACUGAAAACAGGUGGUACUGUUCAACAAAGAGCAGAGAGGCUAUUCCUUACCAAGAACACUCCUCUCGAGAAGUUGGAUAGAAAGCAUUUUGCUAAACUACCAUGUGGUUCAAACCAGAACGGUAAUGGUGAUGUGCAGUUUCACAAGCAAGAAGAUAUCAAGGAAUUGGCCUUAGUAGAAGCCAAGAUGAAAAAGCUCUGCGAACUGCUUGAAGAGAUCAUAGUCCGAACGAAAGAAAAUAUUGUGAAGAAGCAGGGAAUGACUUUUGAAGAGAUUGAAAAAGAGCACGAGGAGGAAGAUGAACAGGCUGAAUCCGAAAGUGAUGAAGAAGAUCAGCCUAUAUACAAUCCUCUAAAAUUGCCUCUUGGUUGGGAUGGAAAACCAAUACCAUAUUGGUUAUAUAAGCUCCAUGGUCUUGGACAGGAAUUCAAAUGUGAAAUUUGUGGGAACCAUAGUUACUGGGGCCGUCGAGCCUUUGAGAGACAUUUUAAAGAAUGGCGUCACCAACACGGAAUGCGCUGUCUUGGUAUUCCAAACACAAAGAACUUCAAUGAAAUUACAUCUAUUCAGGAUGCUAAGAAUCUCUGGGAAAAAAUUCAGAAAAGACAAGGAUUGCACAAGUGGCGACCAGACCUCGAAGAGGAAUAUGAAGAUCAAGAGGGCAAUAUAUAUAACAAGAAAACAUAUGCUGAUUUACAGCGUCAAGGGUUGAUAUAAAAGAAGUGCUAUUUGUGUAAGUUAUUUUUGGUCUUCUCAUAUACUUCGUAUACUAUUGCCCUUGCCCAGAAACAUGUUCCCUUUCCCCUGUAGCUAGCUAGCUGAUUGUUUCUAAUUCCAAGUUUUAGAAGUUGAAGAAGUUGGGAUAGUUUUAAAGUGUUAAAAAGAUGUGUAAUUAAGAUUUUCUCAUUUGAACAGAGUUAUAUAUUUGAGCUUUUCCCGCAGUCUUGCUUGCUAUACAAGUAUCUUUAGACAAUACAUUCUGAAAUCUGACCUUAUUUUGGUUAAUGUGAUGAAUGCCUAGCCGCAACUGGAUAUUGGAGUCUGCCAUUUUCUAUCUCAGGUUGCUUCUGAAGAAUCAGUUUCCAUUUGCGUUGUUUUAAGAAAUUAUUGAAGCAUGGCUGGUGUGUAAUAGAGUAUGUAGGCUGUUAUUAGUGUUAUAUUUGGCCAUGAGAAUACUUUACGCCUGUCACUUACAUUACUUUCACCGAGCAAAAGAUCAAUGGUCGAUUAUCCCGUAUUUUUACAGGAGUUGUGGCAUUGAUUGCCUGUGCUUAAGUCGUGUUGGCACCCGUUAUCUAAUUGUCAAAUAACAUCAUGAAUUCAUGAAAUAAAGUAUGAUUGUCCCUCUA